GAAAUAAACCUGAUGGGUUGUUGCUGGUUCUUCAGGGAGCAUGUGCACACCUUGUCAUCUUUAUAUCUCCACCUGUGCACCUUUUGUAGACCCGCAAUGGUCUAUGUUGCCUUUUCAUUUACCCCAAUGUAUGUCGAUAGAAUGUUUGUGCCUAAUAAAAUCUAUACAACUUUCAGCAACGGAUCUCUUGGCUCU
rnacentral:misc_RNA from 1 species